GACGAACGCUGGCGGCGUGCUUAACACAUGCAAGUCGAACGGACAGGCCUCAGCUUGCUGGGGUUCUCGAGUGGCGAACGGGUGAGUAACACGUGGGUAAACUGCCUUGCACACUGGGGUAAGCUUGGGAAACUGGGUCUAAUACAGGGUAUGAACUGCCGAUCGGGUGGGGGUUGGAGAGAUUUUUCGGUGCAAGGUGAGUUCGAGGCCUAUCAGCUUGUCGGUGGGGAGAUGGAAUACCAAGGCGUCGGCGUGUAGCCGGCCUGUGAGGGUGUACGGCCACCUUGGGUCUUACGGGCGGCCCAGAUUCCUACGGGAGCGAGCUGUGGGGAAUAUUGCCGAAGGGGCGGCAGCCUGGUGCAGCGACUCCGCGUGUCGGAUGACUGUCUUCUGGUUGAAAACUCCUUUCGACAGGGACGGAGCUUUUUGUGACGGUACCUGUAUAAGAAGCACCGGCUAACUACGUG
rnacentral:rRNA from 1 species